UUCAUGAAGAAUUAUUGUGUAAAAUUUGGCUUCAGGUGAAUUUUACUGAAAUUAAUUGAAAGUAAUUAUCAAUAAUACUCCUUUUUUAAUUUUUAUUUUUUAAAGUUGCUAAUGUGUUUGUUCUUCCUUUCAGUGAGGGAACAAGCAUCUCUUUGCCAUUAACUUGGGGCAAAAAAAGAGAGGAAACGUAUGCCUUGUUUUUCAUUAUUGCCUAUUGGUACACAAGACGUAUUUAGAGGAAAGGGGUGGAGGAAGAGGGGGUUGAGUGCUUGUAGACCAUGAGCAAAAAUGGCAGACUACAAUAAGAAUUUGGUAAUUUCAUCUAUGAAAUUCUCUAUUACAAUGCACUACGUGCAUCUCACAUGCGAAGAACUAGUUCGAUAAAUAUUCAAUAUUUUGCAGCAAGCUUCAUAUCUUGUUAAAUUUUGAAGGUCCUUCCUUUUGUGAAAUCAUUUAAGUUAAAAAUGUUAAGAGAGAAAAACAUUAAUUUAUUAAUAUCUUCAAAACUCUUCUUAUGGUGCAGGUAGAUUUAAUUUUUCUAUAAACAUUAAAUUUCUGACUUUGAUGGGGAUGAUGUUAUUAUUUUACAGAUUUUCAUCUGGUCGUCCAUUACCAAUACAAUUUCGAGACUCGAUUUGAUUAGAGACUAAUAGCUCAGUCAUCUACCAGGUCAAGAAAGUUAUUAAUUGGGUUAGUUGCUGUAAGCUUGUGGGCUGACCACCUAUAUGCCUGCUUUGCAUAUAUUUCGUUGCCAGCUCCAAUCCACAUCAUUUGAUGACGUGUUGUUUACAACAAAUUUGACUUGUACACAAUAUCUGUUAUUACGAGAGUUAGAGAGAGAGGCCAAUUCAAACCAUCAUUUGGUGACACAUUUUUUAAGAGCAAUCGUGGAACCUAUAUUUGUUAAGUGAAGUCAAUGUUAUGCUGAAGCAAACAAAAGAUUAUGACGAUUGAGGAUAGUCAAGUUCACAUUUCACUUCUUAUCUUUCCAUUCUCUCUCUUUUAGAGUAAAGAUCAUUUGUAGUAUUUCGUGGCUACCAAAUAUUCAAAUACUCCAGGGAACAUUGUAGAUGUAAAAUUCUGCAUUAUAUAAUAGGAGGAAUUUCUUUUUUUUUUUUUUUUUUCCUAAAUGGAUUAUCAGGUAAGUUGUCAUUAUUUGCAAUAGUAAUAGGCUUUUUAUUAUGAUGUGCAGUUGCACAUGUCCAUGUGUGUCCACGUAUACUUGUGUGUGUAAAUGUGGAAUAAUGAUAUUUAC
rnacentral:lncRNA from 1 species